UGAGGCUGUGCUCCGGGUAAGUGUGAGGGGGCCUAGAUCCUGAAAGAGCCAGGAAGUACGCUCUGGAGAAGACAGGAUCCCUCUGGGCUCCACAUCAGCUGCCUCAGAGACUGCUCCAAGCCAACAAGACCCAGGAACGGAGAGUCAGAAGAAAAGGGCGUGCAUGGAAGGGAAGGCAGCUCCACGGAAUAGGAGCCCUCUGGCCUCCAGUUCUGACUCUUCAGAGGCUGUCCCUAAGCAGAGACCCAGGAGAAUGAGAGGCCGGAAGAGGAGGAAAUUGAUGGAUGUCAAGGCAGCUGCCCAGGAGAGCAGCGUCCCAGCCUCCAACUCCACCACCUCAGAAGCUAUCUCUGAGCUGAGGUCCUG